rnacentral:tRNA from 1 species
GCCGAAGUGGCGGAAUGGCAGACGCGACGGUCUCAAAAACCGUUGGGCAGUAGCCCGUGUGGGUUCGACUCCCACCUUCGGCACCA